AUGAACGCUGGCGGAGUGCCUAAUACAUGCAAGUCGAGCGGCAGCGCGAGUAGUUUACUACUUGGCGGCGAGCGGCGGACGGCUGAGUAACGCGUGGGAACGUGCCCCAAAGUGAGGAAUAACUGCCCGAAAGGGUAGCUAAUGCCGCAUAUGAUCUUCGGAUUAAAGGAUUUAUCCGCUUUGGGAGCGGCCCGCGUACGAUUAGAUAGUUGGUGAGGUAAUGGCUCACCAAGUCGACGAUCGUUAACUGGUUUGAGAGGAUGAUCAGUCAGACUGGAACUGAGACACGGUCCAGACUCCUACGGGAGGCAGCAGUAAGGAAUCUUCCACAAUGGACGAAAGUCUGAUGGAGCAACUCCGCGUGCAGGAUGAAGGCCCUCGGGUCGUAAAGCUCUGUCUUUGGGGACGAUAAUGACGGUACCCAAGGAGGAAGCCACGGCUAACUACGUGCCAGCAGCCGCGGUAAUACGUAGGUGGCAAGCGUUGUCCGGAUUUACUGGGCGUAAAGGAUGCGUAGGUGGAUAUUUAAGUCAGAUGUGAAAUACCCGAGCUUAACUUGGGUGCUGCAUUUGAAACUGGAUAUCUAGAGUGCAGGAGAGGUAAGUGGAAUUCCUAGUGUAGCGGUGAAAUGCGUAGAGAUUAGGAAGAGCACCAGUGGCGAAGGCGACUUACUGGACUGUAACUGACACUGAGGCAUGAAAGCGUGGGGAGCAAACAGGAUUAGAUACCCUGGUAGUCCACGCCGUAAACGAUGAGUACUAGGUGUAGGAGGUAUCGACUCCUUCUGUGCCGCAGUUAACACAAUAAGUACUCCGCCUGGGAAGUACGGUCGCAAGAUUAAAACUCAAAGGAAUUGACGGGGGCCCGCACAAGCAGCGGAGCAUGUGGUUUAAUUCGAAGCAACGCGAAGAACCUUACCUAGACUUGACAUCUCCUGAAUAGCCGGUAACUCGGCGAAGCCCUUCGGGGCAGGAAGACAGGUGGUGCAUGGUUGUCGUCAGCUCGUGUCGUGAGAUGUUGGGUUAAGUCCCGCAACGAGCGCAACCCUUAUCAUUAGUUGCUACCAUUUAGUUGAGCACUCUAAUGAGACUGCCGUGGUUAACGCGGAGGAAGGUGGAGAUGACGUCAAAUCAUCAUGCCCCUUAUGUCUAGGGCUACACACGUGCUACAAUGGUGAGUACAAAGAGAUGCAAUACCGUGAGGUGGAGCCAAACUCAAAAACUCAUCCCAGUUCGGAUUGUAGGCUGAAACUCGCCUACAUGAAGCCGGAGUUGCUAGUAAUCGCGAAUCAGCAUGUCGCGGUGAAUACGUUCCCGGGCCUUGUACACACCGCCCGUCACACCAUGAGAGUCUUCAACACCCGAAGUCCGUGAGGUAACCCGUAAGGGAGCCAGCGGCCGAAGGUGGGGGCGAUGAUUGGGGUGAAG
rnacentral:rRNA from 1 species